GCCAAGGCUGGUCUGGAGAUGUGCUUUUAGAAGAAAUUUCUGCUGUCUGGGAUAAGAAGACUUUCUGAGAGGAAAACAGUUCGGUGCCGAAAUCACAGAGAUGACCAGCACUCAAAUCUCCAGCAAAACCUGAAUUAACCUGGGGAAACCAAGUACAAAUUUUGCCAGAGAGAGUAAGGGAAAAAAAAUCCUGGAUGUACAUCAGGGUUUAAGCUAUGGGAAGCAUUUUCCAAGUUGUGUGCACCCUCCACACUCCUGUUAGGAGCAGUUUGAUCCCAGGGGACACAAGCACGGAAAAAAACACUGACCCAUGUCUGCUAUCACACUGUGGUUUGGUAUCCA